CCAACGCAUAUAAACGACAAAUAACAAUACUCAAUUACAGGCGCUCCAAAUCGACGUCAACAAUGGCAAGUGCAGUUAGCUUGACAGAGCACGUCAUGAAGGUGGUAGCCAUUUCUGGAUCUCUCAGAAAAUCUUCCUUUAAUCGGGGCUUACUCUGUUCUGCUGUUGAGAUUGCGAGGGAAAGCAUACCACAUAUGGAGAUUGAGAUCUUGGAAAUUGGGCAUCUUCCAUUUGUAAAUACCGACCUUUAAGUAGACAACAGAUUUCCUCCAUCAGUGGAGGAGCUCAGAGCCAGGGUUCUGCAAGCUGACUGCAUACUCUUUGCAUCUCCAGAGUACAAUUAUUUUGUAUCUGGUCCUUUGAAGAAUGCCAUUGACUGGGCUUCCAGACCUCCCAAUGCUUGGGCCGACAAGCCUGCAGCUAUAAUGAGUGCUGGGGGAGGAUUUGGCGGCACAAUAGCUCAAUACCAUUUGAGGCAGAUUGGAGUUUUCCUUAAUUUGCAUUUUAUCAACAAACCUGAGUUUCGAAUCAGAGCAUUUGAACCUCCCGCAAAAUUUGACAGUGAUGGGAAUCUUGUUGAUGAUGAAAUAAAGGAGCAGUCGAAAGAACUUCUGCUAUCGUUAUCUGCAUUUACUCGCAGAAUGCAAAGCAAGUAGUGUAAGUUGAUGCAAGGGGAAUUUCGAAUGAGGCUCCCAGUCUUGAGCUGUUCUUACGAUUCUUUUCCUUCAAAAAACAAUGGGGUAUAAAUAAGUGGUAAAAGCUUUCCAAACAAUAUUUAGUCAUUGCAAGCCUAAAUUUGACGGUCAACUCUAUGUUGAAGCAAAAUCUUUACGAUGGUUAUUUUUUAAUAUAUAUAAA